CCGAGUUUACAACUCCCAAACCCAAUGUGAACGUUACCAAACUGUUGCCUCGGCGGGAUCUCUGCCCCGGGUGCGUCGCAGCCCCGGACCAAGGCGCCCGCCGGAGGACCAACCAAAACUCUUUUUGUAUACCCCCUCGCGGGUUUUUUUUAUAAUCUGAGCCUUCUCGGCGCCUCUCGUAGGCGUUUCGAAAAUGAAUCAAAACUUUCAACAACGGAUCUCUUGGUUCUGGCAUCGAUGAAGAACGCAGCGAAAUGCGAUAAGUAAUGUGAAUUGCAGAAUUCAGUGAAUCAUCGAAUCUUUGAACGCACAUUGCGCCCGCCAGUAUUCUGGCGGGCAUGCCUGUCCGAGCGUCAUUUCAACCCUCGAACCCCUCCGGGGGGUCGGCGUUGGGGAUCGGCCCUGCCUCUUGGCGGUGGCCGUCUCCGAAAUACAGUGGCGGUCUCGCCGCAGCCUCUCCUGCGCAGUAGUUUGCACACUCGCAUCGGGAGCGCGGCGCGUCCACAGCCGUUAAACACCCAACUUCUGAAAUGUUGACCUCGGAUCAGGUAGGAAUACCCGCUGAACUUAAGCAUAUAAAA
rnacentral:rRNA from 1 species